rnacentral:rRNA from 1 species
CCCCGGCGCCACGAGUGGUAGCCACAUUUAUUGGGUCUAAAGCGUUCGUAGCCGGUUUGGGUUAUUUUAUGUGAAAUCGUUGAGCUCAACUUAACGGUGUGCAUAAAACACUCCCAAACUUGAGACUGGGAGGAGACAGAGGUAUUCUGGGGGGAGCGGUAAAAUGCUAUAAUCCCUAGAGGACCACCAGUGGCGAAGGCUUCUGUCUAGAACAGGUCUGACGGUGAGGAACGAAGGCCAGGGGA